rnacentral:rRNA from 1 species
CAAUAGCGUAUGUUAAAGUUGUUGCGGUUAAAAAGCUCGUAGUUGGAGUUCUGCCAGGUGCCGCCUGUCCGCCCCAGUGGUGAGUACGUGGCGCGCAUUUGGCCCUUUCAAGGGGAGCGUAUCUGCACUUUAUUGUGUGGUGCGGGAUCCUUGACUUUUACUUUGAGGAAAUAGGAGUGUUCCAAGCAGGCUCUCGUCGUGCACAGCUCAGCAUGGAAUAAUAGCAUUGGACCUCGAUUCUAAGCUGUUGGUUGCCAGAAGCGAGGUAAUGAUGAAGAGGGAUAGUUGGGGGCAUUCGUAUUUAACUGUCAGAGGUGAAAUUCCUGGAUUUGUUAAAGACGGACUACUGCGAAAGCAUCUGCCAUGGAUGUUUUCAUUGA